UGAAUAUAGUUUUGUUGUUGUUAAAUUCCUGUUAAACUUGGGAUCGCAACCAUGGGUUUAUCUUGAAACUUUUAUUUUGAAAAUCCACAGCGGAAGUCUGCUACUGUAAACCGGUUUUCCCUAAGCUUAUCCCGUUAGUAGCAAGGAAGCUUUUGCUGUGUUUGGGCGGAAUGCUGUUGCCUGAAACUCAUGGUUAUUCAUAUCCCAUGUUAUUGCAGGUAUGUGUAUUUUGAAACGUAUUUGAUUGAGCUGCAGACUAACUCUGUUAAGAAACACUGCUUAUUAAGUUUCACCCAGUAGAUGGCAGUAUUGUUCCAUUUAAUAUUGUACAUGAAAGGAAAUUUUGGCUUUGGUCUGGAAGUUUAUUUAUUUUCACAUGAAUGUGCAUUUAAGUGAAUUAAUUUCUCUUUUUUUUACCUAAACCACAAUGCAGUAAUAUUUUUAUUUUAUUUUCCGUAAUAAGUUUUGUUGCCAUUUUAUUUUUCAAUCAAUAUUUGGUUUUUAUUUAUUUUAAGAAAACUAAGAGUUCCACUAUACGAUCAUUAGCUUACCCGUUAGUAGCAAGGAAGCUUUUGCUGUGUUUGGGCGGAAUGCUGUUGCCUGAAACCCAUGGUUAUUCAUAUCCCAUGUUAUUGCAGAGACCCACAAGAGGGGAAUAAACCACGUCUGAGCUCUACCCAUCUCGAGUCCAGAGAGUUUUACUCUUACAGCACCGGAGAUAGAGACUGAGCGGAGUUACAC